AAAGAGAAGUGACAUCUACCAGUCUUUCUGAACAUGAUGCCACUAUUGAAGAAAGCUCAAAUCUUUGCCAAGUGACAACUGAAAAUGGCUUAUGCACGCUCUUCCUAGGACACAACUCUUUCUCCUAAAUCACAGUGACCAAAGUUAAUAUCAUCCAUGAUAAAUAAUGUUGAUAUCAUAUACCAGCUGAUGCGAUGUUUUGAGAAGGACACUUGACC